rnacentral:rRNA from 1 species
UACGGAGGGUGCGAACGUUAAUCGGAAUCACUGGGCGUAAAGCGCGCGUAGGCGGUCUGUUAAGUGGGAUGUGAAAUCCCCGGGCUUAACCUGGGAAUUGCAUUUCAAACUGGCCGACUAGAGUACGGUAGAGGGAGGUAGAAUUUCCUGUGUAGCGGUGAAAUGCGUAGAUAUAGGAAGGAAUACCAGUGGCGAAGGCGGCCUCCUGGAUCGAUACUGACGCUGAGGCG